rnacentral:rRNA from 1 species
GAUGGACGCUGACAGAAUGCUUAACACAUGCAAGUCUUUGGCGAAGCUGUGCUUGCACAGCCUAGCCAAGGCGGACGGGUGAGUAACGCGUAAGGAACUUGCCCUGCAGUCAGGGAUAACAGACGGAAACGACUGAUAAGACCUGGUAAAGUCAGGCGGACUCAUGUCCAGCCUGAUGAAAAGAGAUGCUGCAGGAGAGCCUUGCGUCCUAUUAGCUUGUUGGUGGGGUAACGGCCCACCAAGGCGAUGAUAGGUAGCCGGCCUGAGAGGGUGGACGGCCACAAGGGGACUGAGAUACGGCCCUUACUCCUACGGGAGGCAGCAGUGGGGAAUAUUGGACAAUGGGGGCAACCCUGAUCCAGCAAUUCUGUGUGCACGAUGAAGGUUUUCGGAUUGUAAAGUGCUUUCAGCAGGGAAGAAAAAAAUGACGGUACCUGCAGAAGAAGCGACGGCUAAAUACGUG